AGUACGUGAAACUGCUUAGAGGUUAAACCCGAUGAACCUGAAUAUCCAUUAUGGAAAAUUCAAUACUAAUAUUGCAAUAUAUAUCAUAUUUGUAAAAGUAGUGUGCAAUUUUUCCAUAUAAGGACAUUGUAAUCUGUUAAUGUAAUAAUUAUUUAUCAAAAGAUUCUUUACUUAAGUUUAUUCAAAUUGUUUAUUUUCGGAUAUUCAACAUAAAAUAAAUGUAUUGAAUUGGAUAAAUCAUUGACAGAUAUAAUUAUAUAAUGUGCUCAAAUUCUACGGAAUUUUACAAUGAUAAAUGCAUCUAUUGAUUUGUUUAUUUAUUUGUUUGCACUAUUAUGAUUAACAAUGCGAUAGAUUCAGGAUACCUUCGGGACCCGUCUUGAAACACGGACCAAGGAGUCUAACAUAUGUGCAAGUCAUUGGGUAUUUAUAAUAAAACCCAAUGGCAUAAUUAACUUAACUUUAUAUAUAAUGGGAUUAGUUUAUAAUUUAUUAUGAAUUAUUUAUUCAAUCCCGGGGCGUUCUAUAUAGUUAUGUAUAAUGGUAUUUAUAUUAUUUAUACCUCUAACUAGAGCGUACCUUGAGC
rnacentral:rRNA from 1 species